rnacentral:rRNA from 1 species
UCGAGAAUUUUUCACAAUGGGGGCAACCCUGAUGGAGCGACGCCGCGUGGAGGAUGAAGGUCUUCGGAUCGUAAACUCCUGUCACUACAGAACAAGGAUAAUGGCAUUAAUACCGCCGUUGUUUGAUGGUAUGUGGAGAGGAAGGGACGGCUAACUCUGUGCCAGCAGCCGCGGUGAUACAGAGGUCCCAAGCGUUGUUCGGAUUUACUGGGCGUAAAGGGUGCGUAGGAGGUCGAGAAAGUUGGAUGUGAAAGCCUGCCGCGUAGCGGGAAAACUGCA